AACGGCCUACCAAGGCGACGAUCAGUAGCCGGUCGGAGAGGAUGAACGGCCACAUUGGAACUGAGACACGGUCCAGACUCCUACGGGAGGCAGCAGUGGGGAAUCUUCCGCAAUGGGCGCAAGCCUGACGGAGCAACGCCGCGUGAGUGAAGAAGGGUUUCGACUCGUAAAGCUCUGUUGUCGGGGACGAAUGUGGAGAUGGUGAAUAACCAUUUUCAAUGACGGUACCUGACGAGGAAGCCACGGCUAACUACGUGCCAGCAGCCGCGGUAAUACGUAGGUGGCGAGCGUUGUCCGGAAUUAUUGGGCGUAAAGGGAGCGCAGGCGGGAAGGUAAGUCUAUCUUAAAAGUGCGGGGCUCAACCCCGUGAGGGGAUGGAAACUAUCUUUCUUGAGUGCAGGAGAGGAAAGCGGAAUUCCUAGUGUAGCGGUGAAAUGCGUAGAUAUUAGGAGGAACACCAGUGGCGAAGGCGGCUUUCUGGACUGUAACUGACGCUGAGGCUCGAAAGCGUGGGGAGCGAACAGGAUUAGAUACCCUGGUAGUCCACGCCGUAAACGAUGAAUGCUAGGUGUAGGAGGUAUCGACCCCUUCUGUGCCGGAGUUAACGCAAUAAGCAUUCCG
rnacentral:rRNA from 1 species